rnacentral:rRNA from 1 species
ACGUAGGGUGCAAGCGUUGUCCGGAAUUAUUGGGCGUAAAGAGCUCGUAGGCGGUUUGUCGCGUCUGCUGUGAAAACCCGAGGCUCAACCUCGGGCCUGCAGUGGGUACGGGCAAACUAGAGUGCGGUAGGGGAGAUUGGAAUUCCUGGUGUAGCGGUGGAAUGCGCAGAUAUCAGGAGGAACACCGAUGGCGAAGGCAGAUCUCUGGGCCGUAACUGACGCUGAGGAGCGAAAGCAUGGGGAGCGAACAG